rnacentral:misc_RNA from 1 species
AAGUCGUAACAAGGUUUCCGUAGGUGAACCUGCGGAAGGAUCAUUAACAAAUCUAGAGUGUCGGCUUCUUAGGAGGCUGGCAUGUAAACCAUUGUGAAUUGGUAGUAGAGUGGGUGGGCAACUGCCUUGCUUGCUACCUCUAUGUUCGUGCGGCUUGCCCACGAUACGUAAACGAGACAAAAGAGUCGGAUAAAUAUAAAUAAUUAUAAACAACUUUUAACAAUGGAUCUCUUGGCUCUU